AGAGUUUGAUCCUGGCUCAGGAUGAACGCUGGCGGCAUGCCUAAGACAUGCAAGUCGAACGGAGUGGCCCAUUGAAGAUGGAGUGCUUGCACAAAAUUGGAUUUGGAUUACCACUCAGUGGCAGACGGGUGAGUAACACGUGGGUAACCUACCUCAGAGACUGGGACAACAAUUAGAAAUGAUUGCUAAUACCGGAUGAUUCAUAGAUACAUAAGUAACUGUGCUAAAAGGAGCUUCGGCUUCACUUUGAGAUGGGCUUGCGGUGUAUUAGCUAGUUGGUGGGGCAAUGGCCUACCAAGGCAACGAUGCAUAUCCGAGCUGAGAGGCUGAUCGGACACAUUGGAACUGAGACACGGUCCAGACUCCUACGGGAGACAGCAGUUAGGAAUAUUCGUCAAUGGGGGAAACCCUGAACGAGCAAUGCCGCGUGAGUGAUGAAGGUCUUAUAGAUUGUAAAACUCUGUUGUGAAGAAAGAAACCUUGCCAUAGGUAAUGAUGGUAAGCUGACGGUACUUCACCAGAAAGCCCCGGCUAACUACGUGCCAGCAGCCGCGGUAAUACGUAGGGGGCGAGCGUUAUCCGGAUUUAUUGGGCGUAAAGCGUGUGUAGGCGGUUUAUUAAGUCUAAAAUCAAAGCCUGGGGCUUAACCCCAGUUCGUUUUAGAAACUGGUAGACUUGAGUGUGGUAGAGGCAAAUGGAAUUUCUAGUGUAGCGGUUAAAUGCGUAGAUAUUAGAAGGAACACCAGUGGCGAAGGCGGUUUGCUGGGCCAUUACCGACGCUGAGACACGAAAGCGUGGGGAGCAAAUAGGAUUAGAUACCCUAGUAGUCCACGCCGUAAACGAUGAGUACUAAGUGUCGGGAAACCGGUGCUGAAGUUAACACAUUAAGUACUCCGCCUGAGUAGUACGGUCGCAAGGCUGAAACUCAAAGGAA
rnacentral:rRNA from 1 species